rnacentral:rRNA from 1 species
GGUCUGUUCGCCCUUUAAAAUCUAACAUGAGCUGAGUUCAGAACGGCGUGAGCUAGUUCAGUUUCUAUCCUCUUUUUGAAAUGAGCUAAUUUUGUACGAAAGGACUUUUUCGCUAAAGCAAUGCUUUGUCACAAAUCUGUGGUUGCAUAAAUAAUAGGGUAUAAUAGGUUGAUUAGCCUAUAGGAAGGGUUA